rnacentral:rRNA from 1 species
AGUGAACGCUGGCGGUAGGCCUAACACAUGCAAGUCGAACGGCAGCACAGUAAGAGCUUGCUCUUACGGGUGGCGAGUGGCGGACGGGUGAUGAAUACAUCGGAAUCUACUUUUUCGUGGGGGAUAACGUAGGGAAACUUACGCUAAUACCGCAUACGACCUACGGGUGAAAGCAUGGGAUCUUCGGACCUUGCGCGAUUGAAUGAGCCGAUGUCGGAUUAGCUAGUUGGCGGGGUAAAGGCCCACCAAGGCGACGAUCCGUAGCUGGUCUGAGAGGAUGAUCAGCCACGCUGGAACUGAGACACGGUCCAGACUCCUACGGGAGGCAGCAGUGGGGAAUAUUGGACAAUGGGCGCAAGCCUGAUCCAGCCAUACCGCGUGGGUGAAGAAGGCCUUCGGGUUGUAAAGCCCUUUUGUUGGGAAAGAAAAGCAGCAGGUUAAUACCCCGCUGUUCUGACGGUACCCAAAGAAUAAGCACCGGCUAACUUCGUG